rnacentral:rRNA from 1 species
UCGGAGUUGGAUGAGCCCGCGUUGGAUUAGCUAGUUGGUGGGGUAAUGGCCUACCAAGGCGACGAUCCAUAGCUGGUCUGAGAGGAUGAUCAGCCACACUGGGACUGAGACACGGCCCAG